ensembl:snoRNA
ACCCUCCCUAUCCCUUUCCCAUCAGAUCUGAAUACUGAUCUUAUGGUCAAGAAGGAGGAAAAGUAAAAUGGAAGCCAGCCCUUGCAUCUUUGCUGGGGAAUAUCCUGCACUGAACUGGGCUGUCUUGAAACAGUU